rnacentral:rRNA from 1 species
UACGAAGGGGGCUAGCGUUGCUCGGAAUCACUGGGCGUAAAGCGCACGUAGGCGGCUUUCUAAGUCAGGGGUGAAAUCCUGGAGCUCAACUCCAGAACUGCCUUUGAUACUGGAAAGCUUGAGUUCGGGAGAGGUGAGUGGAACUGCGAGUGUAGAGGUGAAAUUCGUAGAUAUUCGCAAGAACACCAGUGGCGAAGGCGGCUCACUGGUCAAGUAUUGACGCUGAGGUGCGAAAGCGUGGGGAGCAAACAGG